rnacentral:rRNA from 1 species
AACGAACGCUGGCGGCAUGCCUAACACAUGCAAGUCGAACGAGACCUUCGGGUCUAGUGGCGCACGGGUGCGUAACGCGUGGGAACCUGCCCUUAGGUUCGGAAUAACUCCCCGAAAGGGGUGCUAAUACCGGAUAAUGUCUUCGGACCAAAGAUUUAUCGCCUUUGGCUGGGCCCGCGUUGGAUUAGCUAGUUGGUAGGGUAAAAGCCUACCAAGGCGACGAUCCAUAGCUGGUCGGAGAGGAUGAUCAGCCACACUGGGACUGAGACACGGCCCAGACUCCUACGGGAGGCAGCAGUGGGGAAUAUUGGACAAUGGGCGAAAGCCUGAUCCAGCAAUGCCGCGUGAGUGAUGAAGGCCUUAGGGUUGUAAAGCUCUUUUACCCGGGAUGAUAAUGACAGUACCGGGAGAAUAAGCUCCGGCUAACUCCGUG